rnacentral:lncRNA from 1 species
CUCGGUAAUGCGAUGAAUCAAUCCGGCGCCGAUGCUCACCCCACGACAAGAUCCAAACCGAAGCUAAGCAACUAUGGCGUCAAAUAGAUGGAAAAAGAAAGGGAUAGAGAGGUUCACGGGGCUUAAAAAGGGCGAAAUAAAUCUCCCAUGCGGAAAAUCCCGCAAAGAACAGAGAAGAGGGGGUGCGGACUCUCCUUCUGGAUUCCAGCUCGCAAACGGCUUGGGGAGGAAGAAGGAAAGGGGGAAGGGGACGCUGCGUAGUGGGCUCCACCUAUCAGUGACCGGUGGCGCGGGGCCAGUUUGCCAGAGAGAAAGAGAGGGAGAUGGCCUGUGGUGCCCCAUGGGCCUGCACGCAAGGGGAGAGAAGGGAGUUGGGCUGAGCUGGGCCACGUAGGAAAGAGGCAGGCCGAGGGAGAAGGGAAAGAAAAGGGGGAGAGGCCGAGAUGGGCUCUGGUGCCACUCGGGCCUAAAGCUGGGAUAGGGAGAUUUGUUGUUUUUGUUUGUUGUUUUUGUUUGUUUUUUUAAUCCCAAUGCAAUUUUGAAACCAUUUCAAAACAUUUUGAAUCAUUUCGAGUUUCUAGUCAAAACCACUCAGUACAAGAAAACAUAUGCUCUGACAUGAAUGCGCAAAUCACGGUGCUAAAUCCUAUGAUAAUUUUUAUUCAAAUGAAAAUAUUAUUUCUCUAUGUUUCAUGAGCAUAAAAAAAUACAAAUUUAAGUUAUUUUUCACCUAUUUCAAAAUGAGCUAAUUUUAGGGUGUUACAAAUCUACCCCCCUUAAAAUGAAUCUCGUCCUCGAGAUUCGCAAGAGACACGGAUUCCGAAAGAGAAGCAUGAACAAGAUAUUGACCACUAUUUCAACUUCACAACUGGUAUUCUAAAAGCAAACACUUAUGUCUCGGGAUCAAAACUUGUGAACAAAAUUUCCAUAAAAUGUCUAUUUUUCAUAAAUGUUCAAGGUCCAUCUUGGCUACCAACUUUUUGACUUAUACACUCAAGGACAUGAUAACUUAGCAUGGAUAUGUCUCCUCAGGUAGGAGUGGACCACCUUGAUACUCAACUCUCUUCCCUGAUGGUGCGGUUAAGAAAAUUUUCCACUGGGUAGCAUAGAUCACUCCUUUGUUUGCACAUAACCAUUCAUUGCCAAGAACCAAAGGAAUGUCGAGUGACUCUAGCACAAUGAGGUUUACCGUAAAUUUUUCAGUGCUUACGACCAAAUUGAUAUUUGAGCAAACCUUGUCCAUGGGACACUACACUCCCUGUCAUUAAGUGAACAACGUCAGUAACUCAGCAAGGAUAGUUGAUCAUAACCAUAGAAUAUCUCAGAAUACAAUUAUCACUUCAAGAUAGUUUUAUAAUGCAUCUUCCCGUGAUAUCAAGGUGCUACCCCGCUUAAAAUGAGAUUGAUUGGGGGACAUUAAGAACUAGUUUUCCUAUCCUUUUUGUACGCUACACAUCAUAGUCUUUUACAUUCGUUGUACCGAGUCUCUUGAUCCAGGUUAGUUUCAUAACUAAGUUCCAAUUAUCAGUACUUUUAUCACGGUUAAGUUGCUUCACUCUCGCAUCCCAAUUAUAACUUCGUAAACGUUGGUGUCAUCUGAUCCUCAUAACAUAACUCUCAAUCCAUGAGUAUCAGCAAUGACAUAUAUCUCCAUUAAUAUUCUCUGAAUGGGAUGAUAUCUUGAAUCAAAACCAAUUUACCAAGCGCUGUGAUCCUCACAUAUGAUCCAUCACUAACCAAUCCUUCUCGUUGUAACUCCUUUAACUAGGCUACCCCCUUAAAAGGGUCAACUAGGGGACACAAGAAAAGUAGCUCACAUCUUUUUCAGCUAAUUUAACUAACAUUGAGAACUUCUGACAUCCCGAAGAACUUUUGUGCAAGAGAACAAACAGGUAUCCUGAAAUUUUCUCGUGAUAUGAAAACACCAGCGUAGUAAAAUAGGUAUAACUCUUAUUCUGUUAAUCCAUUAGAGUUAUAGCUUAUACCGUUAGAAAGCUUAUGAAAUUCACCACAACUUUCCUGUAGAAGACCUCCUUAGAUUCUGUCUUUAAGAUUAGGUAAAACAGCCAAACUUAAUAUCCAUCCUGAAAAUGUCUCAGCAAAGGUGCAGUAGCUUCCAGAAAUUAUAUCUCGAGCUACUUAACUCAUCUGGAGAUGAUCCUUAUAUUGUUGAAAAUAUUAUGAAAUCCUCUACAACUUUCGUAUACCAUAGUUUCCCAAAUUCUGUCUUUACUUGGCUGAGAAUAGGAAAUGCCAGAUCUGUCCAGAUUUUGAAACAGAACAGAAACAUCCAAGUGUAAAUGUCAUAUCUCAGGUUCUACUUAUCCAAAUAAGUUCCCGCUUAUACUGUUGGAUAUAUUAGAAAAUUGUCUACAACUUUUAUAUAGACCACUUUUCCAAAUUCUAUAGAUAUAUUUGUCUAAAACAGUAAGUAACUGAAACUGGUCCAGAUUUCUGACAGCACAACUGCAUCAUCUUGUGAUUUUUGUAACUUCCAAACCAUAAUAGCUAUGAGGGUGAUUCUUACGGUCAGAGAAAGAUCUCGAAGUCUAUUUGUUCCCAGAAAAAUUUAAUAAACGUUGCACGACCAGAACUUGAGAUACACCAGAAUUAUUGUAGACUGCUCCAAAACUCAGCAAAGGAUAGAAACAGGAUAUAACCAAACCCAACUACUUAUGUCAUUACUCCUUAUGCCUUAGGCCUAUAAACUAAAUGAUAUUAUGGAGAAAUCCCAAAACAUUAUUGCACUCAUUAUAAAGAUCCAAAUCAAGCAUAAGCAUAAUAACAAACCAGCAUUGAAGGUUCACACUUCACUCAACUUGCGAUACUAUCGUUCUCUUCGUAGUAAGGGUAAAGAUCCUAAGAUUCCCUUUCAACUACGUAAGCAGGUGGUAAGAGAAGUCCUAAAAGCAUAUCAAGCAAGGAGUGGAGAUGAGAACAAGUCUUUAAAAUAAGCAACAAGGUGAAGAUGAAUAGCAAUGAAAAGGAUAUAGUAUAGAGGAAAAUAUCAAGGUUUAUAGAGCAAGGAUUUUGUAGCAAUUUCAAAACCUUAAGAUGGCCAAUUUCUAACUAGGCUUGCGUCCUACAGCCAACAUUGCUCUGAUACCACUUUGUAAUACCCGAUUUUAAGGACAAAACCAUAUAUGCACCAUAUGUGAGUUUUAGAAAACAAAUCUCACAUAUAGCUACAAAUAAGGGGUAAUAUCAAAAGACAAUGCAUAAAUAUAUAAUGUACUUAGUAUAAAAGAGAUAACCUUCAGUAUCAAACAGCGGAUAGAUAACUCCAAACUUCGGGUAUUAGCUCCUCUCCACAGGAUCAAACUGACUGGUUGAUCACAAGCCUAAAGCAUCUCCUGAAGUGUGGGGGAAAUUGCAAGAGUGAGCACAUAUCGUACUCAACAAGUAUAACCAGGGGUUCAUGAGGCUCAAUUAGCUGACACUAGUUUGACUGCAUUUAGCUUUUAUAUGUGGAUAGCAUAUUUAAUUAUUGGAUAGCAAAUAUCAAGGUAUCAUAUUAAAUCCCAUAACCACAUGAUCAAUUGUAUACAAGAAUUAAGAAUAACACAUAUAAACAACAUAAUAAACCAUCAAUUAUCAUCAUUAAUCAUGUUCAUCAGUGUCCAUCUAUUCCAUCAGUUUUCCGGGCCACCUGUAUCCGUGGGCACGGCUAGUAUACCAAAUUUAACACUCUGCAGAGGUUGUAUACCUUUACCCAUGAGUCAUGAUUUACCCUUUCGCCCGAGGCCCGUCGACCUCUUAGCUCACUUCCAAGGAAAGCCGGCAGGGUUCACUAUGAAGUCUUUCAAAGGUUCGUCUAACAAGUUAGGGCCGCAAGGUUUCCUUUGCGCGUAGAUAUAGAUACCCCCCUUCCGAAUGGCACAAUGACGCGCAGCCUAUACACAUAGGGACAGGGGCUCGCACUAUACCCAAAACGGUUCAGCCCCUCCGCCCUUUCGGGUAACCGCUAACAAGCUAGAAAAGCUUACUCAUACUUGACUAAAGCUAGAGCCAUAUAGCCCUCAUUGUUGUACGAGUUGUCCCAGCUUUUGCCAAGGGAUAAGUCCUCAUGGAGGGUCAAGAUCAAUCCAGCAAAAGCCAGAGUUCUUUCCACCCUUUAUAUUCAAGUUGCUAGAAAGCUUAUUUUAUUGUUUAUUGUAUAUCCAAACAUUCAUGUUACAAGAUCAUGGAUUAUAAUCAAGCACUAGCAAGAACUACCCAAAUGCAUGUCCAAAUAGGUAACAAGGAAUUCAGGAUAACAAUCAUCUAUGAUUUUGCUAAGGUCAUCAAGGUGGACACAUGCAUAUGAUAAGUAUUGUAUUAAUUGUGUAUAGGUAACAAGGAUGGUCCCCGAUUAUACUUGCCUUGAUCAAAGCUCUCCUGAGCCUGCUGCUGGUCGUCAAAAGCUUGACCUUGAUCACCAACGUAAAGCUCACCGACUAAACUCGAUCAUCAAUCAACAACACGCAAUCUAAUGGAGACAAUCAUACACAAAGUAAACAAGCUAUAAUUAGAACAAUACACCAAACAGUGGUAAAACAAAUAUAAAAGUUUAUCAAAAUGUUCUACGCAGCACUACGAUCACACAAACGUAAAGUUCACGAAAAUCGGAGUUAAAACGUAGAAGAUAUGAAUUUUCUAUAGAUAAAUAGUUAAUUAAAUAGAGUCACAAAAUUAAAAAGUUUCAAACUGAGUAAAUAAUUUUACUAACAUGUAUAGCUCAUUAAUAUAAAUCUAACGCAACUUGAAUGGGAUAAAACGGAAUUAAAACAAAUAUUUUAUAAGCGUUUUAAAAUCAGUGGCGAACUUGUAAAUAGAGAAAACUUAUUUUCAACAAAACCGACGGAGAAUACUUUUUAGAGUUGGAAAACGUAAUUUUAAAGGGGCGCCAAGGACUGCGGGUUAGUUCUCCAAUUUUACAGGGUCUCUUUAGCAAAAUUAACCCCGAAGGGGUAUCUUUUUUUGUGAGCCGUUGAUUUGUGAUCCAACGGAUGAGAUUCGAUCUGGGGGAAAGGGUCUGACGCCGGGGCGCCAUGGACUGCGGGUUAGUUCUCCAAUUUUACAGGGUCUCUUUAGCAAAAUUAACCCCGAAGGGGUAUCUUCUUUUGUGAGCCGUUGAUUUGUGAUCCAACGGAUGAGAUUCGAUCUGGGGGAAAGGGUCUGACGCCGGCGGCCGGAACAGUGGCGCCCGCGGCGGACCACCAUUGUUGGCGUCGAGCUUCUCACCGGAGUGUUGACACUUACUAACACCACUUGAAUACUAGAUUGUCAUCCCCAGCAUGGCACUAGAGUGUAUUAUGGUAUUUAUACGCACACAGAUAAUCCGCAAGCGCACGGAUACCGUUGAAGCUUUUACCCGGUUAAAGGUUUUAUCGUAUCCACAGGGAAAUGGGAGAACUGAUCUACGCUCUAACUUAACCAAGAUAAGUAAAUAGGUGUGAAUAGGAAAGAUGGUAGAAUCAAAUAAGAACAAUAUUAAAGGUAAGAUAACAGUGAGUGAUAAUAUGGAAAUAGAUAGUAGAGCAAUUCUAGUAUAUGGGCGAUGGUAGCAGAAUAGAGAGGUUAACUAUGGUUUCUCUACUUCAAAGGGGUAUGUCUAUGUCUGGGACGAACCAUGUGAUAAGAGUACACCACAAAGGAUGCUUAUCCUUAGGCCGAUAAACCCUACCCGUCCUGCUAACGAGAGGUGGACUACAGGGGACCAACGUAACUGUCACCUACGCGGCCUACCACACGAUCCAGCUAGUCAGGGGAUAUCCACAAGUAAUCUAGGUCUAAGCACCACGCUUACACCUAUACUACAACUCUAACCUAUAGGGUCCUAUAGAUUAGAAGUACUCAAAAGAGUUGUGAACCAGAACAUACAUGAUUAGUAAUUGCAUAAUGAAUUAGAAGUAGAUUACCAGAGUCAUCCCAUGAGCAAGCUUGAUUAGAGCUUGAUCAUGGCGAAGUACAACCGGAGGAAGAACCGACAGGCCGGCCUCUCCUCUAAUCCUCCUUCGCUCUCCAUCUCGCUACUAUCUAGAUCUACUCUAGUUUAGAGAAGAGAGGAGAGCUCUCAUCUCUAAACCCUAGCUUUUGCUCUGUCUAUGAAUAAUGAAUAAUGAUCAAGGGGGUGCCUCCUCCAGGGGCCAGGGGGUCUGGUUUUAUAGUCCCCUCAAGUGAACCUGGGCCGUCGGAUCAAACCGACAUUGAUUGAACGGUUAUUCUUGAUCCUUUAGGUCGGUGGAGCAUAAUCCGCGAGAUUGAGCGUGAUUGGCCAUAGGAGGUGGGCGGGCGCCCAGUAGGACAGGGCGGGCGCCCUGUCUCUGGCCCCAUUUCGCCUCCGCUUCGGUCUCGUGGCUUCUGGAGUCUUCUAGAUGUAAGAUAAUUGCGCGGCACGUUGAUAUCUCUAUGUAAUCCCGACGUGUGGGCCUUUCUUCCUUAUUUCCUGAUAACCCCCUGCAGAAAUAGACAAACACCAAAACUCGUGGAAUUCUGUCAGAUAAAACCCUAAGUCUAGAUGUUGAUUUCAUUUGGAUCCUUUUCUUUGUUUAUUUGAUAAUUAAAUUUGAUACUUAAGGACCGUCAACAAACUUCCCCAAGCUUACCUCUUGCUCAUCCCUGAGCAAGGAUAGACUCAGCAAUGGAUCAGAAGUUGUUGCAAUAUCUUAAAAAUUUGACGGUACACAUACUUUUAAAUGAGGUCUCAUCUCUGAGUUAGAGUAAACUGUCAAGACUUAAAACUUACUUACUUUACCUUUCACCAUGGGACUUGUAACCGUCACUUCUGUCUUGAGUGGUUAAAAGAUAGAACAGUCCCGUCAAGUGCCAUGUCUCUUAUUCGUGAUCAGCUAUAGCUCUGGAGUUUUUGCAGAUUUUCAAAUAAAACUCAGAGAUUCCUUUGUAUGACUCUCUCAUAUCUCUCUUUUGUGGUAUUUCUGGAUCCUUACCAAGGCAGUGAUGGUAUAUGCCUUCUCUCAAAAUAUGUGGUAUUUGUGGUAUAAGGGAUAGUGACAUUGCCCUCUCUCUCACCCUACUCUAAUAAGGCUUUAAUAUCUGGAGCUCAUAGGUGGGAGAUAAAGUAUACAUACUUACAAGAAAUUUAUUGUAUAGUCAAACCAUGGAUCCAAAGAAACAAAUCAAUAAGCCAAAUCAAGAUGUGCAUGUGUGGCGAAUGAAUAGUGUAUGGUGAUGAUGGUGAUAACAAUGGUGAAAGUCUAAUUCUACUUUUGCUCUUUUGAGGGGAUACAUACCUUCCUUGCUUUUUGAAACUUUAUGAGGAGAAUGAGAUGCUCUUCUUUUUCUUUCCUCUCAGGUGGGUAUCUUGUACCCCUAAUUCUACUGUCGGACACUUGUCCAUUUUUACCUCUCGUCUCACUCUUUUUGUUUUCUUUCGAGGUUCCGGGCACUUGCCCCUUUUUAUUUCCUCGUUUAUUUUUUUUUCUUUUCUUUUUUUUUCUUCUUUUUUUUUCAGAGCACUCAUCUCUUGAGAUAAUAUAGCAAGUGGUAGUCGCAAGAUAACUUGAGCAUUUAUUUUACAAGAGAAAAACACAGAUGUUUUUGGCUAUUCUCUCCCGAAUUAGGAGUAGAAUAUUUUUAGGUGAUUUUGGAGAUGGAAAUGGAUGGAUAUAUGUGGAUGGUACUUCCGGAGUAGAAGUAGCAUAUAUGAGUGAACGUGCAAGUGAAUCUUGAUUUAACCACAUGACAAGCUCCUAAGGGUCUACACAGCUUGACUACACUCAAUGCUCAUAAGCAGUAAAUAAUAAAUGUGUGGCUCAAAGUCUAGCAAGCAUGUAUAUAUGGCUGUGGUAGAAAUUUAAACUCUCAUCAUACAGGAACUCAUCAUGCAACAUUUUAAAGAUUUUCAAAGAUAAAAUUCUCUAGAAUUCUAGCAUCUCUAGGAACAGAUAAACAGCAGCUCAACCUUCCCAUAUCUUAUCCGUUAACAACUUAGAUUUCAGAUCAAGUUUUCAUCCCACAAGUUUAGAUCUAGAGCAAGCUUUAAAUUAUAACAGUUAUGUCUAAACUUGAGAGAGAACUUUAAAUUUGCAAAUUAGGCAGAGCAACUAUUCAUCAUAUCCAUGCUAGAGUUUUAUUAUUAAGAUUCAUAGCAAACUUUAUUUAUUUAUUUAUUUAUUUAUUUAGCAAACUAAGAAAAGAUAUAUAUAUAUAUAAGCAUAAAAUCUUUAUUUGGUUUUUCAUAGUUUAUGUAUUUUAAUAUUCUAAUAUAAGUAUAAAGAUAGGUAGAAAUACUUAGUGAGAUAAAUAGGGGUGCUUUCCCCCAAGCUGAAUUUUGACGUAAUUUCUCUUGAUGUAGCUAGCAGGUGGCAGAGGUGUAUUUGAAAGUCAGCAGCAUUCUGACAGCGAUUAGAAUGUCCUCCGUCUGCUAGUCUUCUUGAUUCUUAAAUUCUGUGGAGCUCAAAUAGACAACAAAGCUUGUGGAACUAAUUAAGUGUUAGCAUAAAUAUCUAGCCUUCAUCACGUUGAGCUUCCUCAAUAAAUAUUACUCCCUGUUUUUAUAUAUUUUUAUUUUAUAAAGUAGAAAAGAAAUAUUUAUUUUAUUUUUAUGCCACCACAGUGAAGGUACUUAUGGGUUUUAUGCCACUCGUAUACUCACAUGGGGCUUAGUAUUUUUUAACAUUUUUAUUAGCUUUUCAAGAUAGCAUGAUUAACUAAAAAUCUAUUUAAGGAAAGUAAAUAAUUAAAGGGAAAAGGAAAUGCAGAAAGGAUAAAUAUGGAUAACUACCAAUCUUACCUUUCGGCGAGAGUUCAAUGUUUUAAGUCUUCUUGACAAGACUUCUCACCGUGUUCAUUCUUCAGGUGCGUCAUUUGAUUCAGGUGCGGACCUUGACGUCUGCACCUUUUAAUACGGUGUCACCCAUGUUCUUCGUUUGCCCAGCAGUUCGAAGUGCGGUGCUAGCAGUAUCUUGCUCACUGUGUUUGUGCUCGUAGUGUACCUGCUCAUAGAGACAAGGCAGAGAUCAAGUGCAUGGGCCCUGUUGGUGGAAAACACCAACAGAACCAAAAGUGUAUUUGUUCUUCUCUAACCUUAAGCAUAGUGAGCAAGACAAAGUUGAUGGAUGAUAAGUUCAUGAGUGUAGCACUUAUAACAUUUGUCAGAUCAGAUCGCUCAACCUUAUAGAAAGAUAAUCUAUCUAUGUAUAUGUCUUUUUCUUUAUAUCUCUCAAUGAUUGAAUGUGUAACAUUUUAGCUCAUAUGAUUAGGAGUGUGGGAUCACGGAGGUAGUACUAAGAACAAGGAUUAAAGGACUAAACAUGUUGAAUCAGUUGGGUUGGUUAAUCUAGAGUUGUAAAUCAUACACGUUUGUCUCUUUUAUUUAUAUGAACGCCAGAACCAAGGAGAAGCUUAUAAAAGUGAUAGUCAAGUACCUUAAGAUGUUACCUUGCUUGAAGAGUGAUGGUACAGUAUCAUCUUGUGGAAGCUUUCCUUUCUUAGCAGUUGUGCAUCGUGUUUGUGGCACCGUCCAUGGAUCAUCUCUCUAUGAUGAAUGAGCUAUGUCCUUCUUGUGCAAAUUGUUAAACUUCAUAUGUCACUCUCUUCGUCUCUGAUGUGAGUUUAUCUCAGGACUUCCCAAAUCAAUAUUGAAAGUUUUUUUGUAGGGGUUAGUCCGACAAAAUAUACCAAUAUCAACUCAAGCAGUUUUUUUUAGUUCAAUAACCAAACUAGACUCCAUGUCUAAUCAGAUUAAGGAAGGCUAUUUAACCUAAGCACCAUGCUUAAUUUAAAUGCCAAUGGAAGUAUGGCGAGUACUUCCAAACCAACACUUGCUAGUAAAUAGACAAAGGUAGCAUGACAGCAUUUAUAGAGAUCUACUCAAGUGGAGAUGAAGUAGUGUGAUUAGUAUUUAACAAAUUGAGCAUGUCUCAAAGGUAGGGACAACCAGCAUAGCAACAUGGCAAAGGAUGUUUUUAUGUAAAGUACUCCCCCAAGCUUGAAUUUUGCAAAAUUCAAGUUUGGAUGAAUUUAAUCCAAUGUUGUAUGAUGAUUGGUUGGACAUACCUUGUGCUUGUCAUUCAUCCGAUCUUCUUGCUCCAAUCCUAGAAAGGUUAGUGACAAGAAUACCCAAAGGAAUAUUUUUUUUUACAAUUAUCCUUAUAUGCUCAAUACACAAGGUAAUGUUGCAAAUAAUUAAAAGCUCAUGUUACGAUCUGAUCAAUGCUUAUUUUAAGACACUAAGCUUGUCCUUAGGAAACCAUCAGUUUAUGUUGGCGAAGUGGUUUCCCCUCUGACGCCAACCUAUAUCUAGAUCAACUCAACGAGAUCUGCAAUAUUUAUUAUAGACAUAUGCAUCGACAACCGCCCUUUUAAAGUUUUUAUAAAUAGAAAGGAAGAGGGGGUUGGAGAUCUCAAGUGUGGUGAUGUCGGAGAGACCAAUAGAUUGGAAAGAUGUUGCAUAUGAGCAUGGAGUAAACAAAGUGGCUAUGAAAUAAAUUCCAUGCUCAUUAAUGUUAUCUUCGUCUCCAAUCUGAAUGUUCGGAGUUUCUUCUGGAUUGGUCUCACCUAUGUUCUCUUCUAUAGUUGGAUGAAUCUCAUCUUCAAAGGGAGUCAAGAACUCACCAUUUGAAAUUGAGCCAAAGUCAGAACCCAUUAAGGCUUCUUCCUUAUCCAUCCAUUUUACACAUUCUAGCCAUUUAGAACUUGUGAUCAAAAUAGGGGAGGUGUUAGAAUUUUCUAUAUGGCUUAGCUCUCCUUCUAUGGCAUCACUUGACAUGCCAUCCUUAUGGUCUUCAUGACUCCUAUGGUUUGGUCGUCUUGGUGAAUUGCUAGGAUCAUCAUGAGACUGAAAAGAAGAGGGAUAAGAGGGAUCUCUAAGGUCAAGGAUGGAUUUAGAACUUGUGAACAUGGAAGGGGAGUAGAUAGAAUUGUCUAUAUGGCUUAUCUCUCCUUCACUUGAUAUGUCAUCCUCGACUUCUUCAUGAUAGGAACCAGGACAUUCUCUAAGAGAAACAUUAUUGCAAGGAUUUGAAUUAUCCCUGCUUGAAGGUCUCUUAUAGAACCAGAAGUCUAAACCAUCAGCAUCUAAAAGAUUUAAGGUCGGAAUUCCUUCCUCCCUUGGAGAAUUUUGGGGUAUUGAUGGUUUAGGAUCGAUAGCUAAAGUUUGGGAUUGAAGUGGUUGUGAUCUGGCUAUCGAAACUUCUUCUUCUUGUCUAGGAACUGGUUCUUUCUCUUUCUCAGGGAUAUAAAAGCUAGGAGACUUUCCACUCAUUAAAUCAAUCAAAUUCCAAGCUUCACUAGCGGAUAGGUGGUGGAAAGAUCCUCCAGAGGCCGCAUGAAGGGUUUGCUUAUCUUCCUUACUAAGGCCCUCAAAAAAGUGAAUUAGAAGAACUUCUUCUGGAAUAGAAAGUUUUGGGCCAAUGAGAGUAAGGUUAAUAAAUCGGUCCCAUGAUUUGCCAAGAGAUUCUUCUUCCAGUUGUCUAAAAGAAAGAAUCUCACGCCGAAGUUCCACCACUUUGGAGAUUGGAAAAUAUUUAGAAAGAAAACUACUAUAUAACUUCUUCCAAUCUCCAUGAACACUCCCUACUUUGAGUUUAUACCAAUGUCUAGCUUUUCCCGUUAAAGAGAACGGAAAGAGCUUCCAUUUAAGGGUCUCAUCGGACAUGCCUUCUAUGCGAAGGAGGUCACAGACUCGAUAAAACUCUCUUAGGUGUGUGUAUGGGUUUUCCUCACCUUCUCCUGAGAAAGGUUGUUUUUGAAUAAAUUCUAUGUAUUUGGGGUCUAUCUCAAAACUAGAUGCUAUGAUAGGCUUUGAAGAUUUUGGUGGUUCGAGAUGUGUGCCCAUAGGUCUAUGAAAUUCAUAGAUAGACAUGUUUGAAUUCAUAAUAGACCAGAGAUCAAGGAUUAGAUAAGAAGAAAGAAUAGCAGAGAUGAGGCAAAGGAUAAAAGGAAAAUAUUUAUUUAUUUUUUAUUUAUUUUUUUAUAAAAUGAUUAAACUAGUUCGUAGUCAACUCAGCAACCGUUUCCCCGGCAACGGCGCCAAAAAUGCUUGUUGACACUUACUAACACCACUUGAAUACUAGGUUGUCAUCCCCAGCAUGGCACUAGAGUGUAUUAUGGUAUUUAUACGCACACAGAUAAUCCGCAAGCGCACGGAUACCGUUGAAGCUUUUACCCGGUUAAAGUUUUAUCGUAUCCAUAGGGAAAUGGGAGAACUGAUCUACGCUCUAACUUAACCAGGAUAAGUAAAUAGGUGUGAAUAGGAAAGAUGGUAGAAUCAAAUAAGAACAAUAUUAAAGGUAAGAUAAUAGUGAGUUAUAAUAUGGGAAUAGAUAGUAGAGCAAUUCUAGUAUAUGGGCGAUGGUAGCAGAAUAGAGAGGUUAACUAUGGUUUCUCUACUUCAAAGGGGUAUGUCUAUGUCUGGGACGAACCACGUGAUAAGAGUACACCACAAAGGAUGCUUAUCCUUAGGCCGAUAAACCCUACCCGUCCUGCUAACGAGAGGUGGACUACAGGGGACCAACGUAACUGUCACCUACGCGGCCUACCACACGAUCCAGCUAGUCAGGGGAUAUCCACAAGUAAUCUAGGUCUAAGCACCACGCUUACACCUAUACUACAACUCUAACCUAUAGGGUCCUAUAGAUUAGAAGUACUCAAAAGAGUUGUGAACCAGAACAUACAUGAUUAGUAAUUGCAUAAUGAAUUAGAAGUAGAUUACCAGAGUCAUCCCAUGAGCAAGCUUGAUUAGAGCUUGAUCAUGGCGAAGUACAACCGGAGGAAGAACCGACAGGCCGGCCUCUCCUCUAAUCCUCCUUCGCUCUCCAUCUCGCUACUAUCUAGAUCUACUCUAGUUUAGAGAAGAGAGGAGAGCUCUCAUCUCUAAACCCUAGCUUUUGCUCUGUCUAUGAAUAAUGAAUAAUGAUCAAGGGGGUGCCUCCUCCAGGGGCCAGGGGGUCUGGUUUUAUAGUCCCCUCAAGUGAACCUGGGCCGUCGGAUCAAACCGACAUUGAUUGAACGGUUAUUCUUGAUCCUUUAGGUCGGUGGAGCAUAAUCCGCGAGAUUGAGCGUGAUUGGCCACAGGAGGUGGGCGGGCGCCCAGUAGGACAGGGCGGGCGCCCUGUCUCUGGCCCCGUUUCGCCUCCGCUUCGGUCUCGUGGUUUCUGGAGCCUUCUAGAUGUAAGAUAAUUGCGCGGCAUGUUGAUAUCUCUAUGUAAUCCCGACGUGUGGGCCUUUCUUCCUUAUUUCCUGAUAACCCCCUGCAGAAAUAGACAAACACCAAAACUCGUGGAAUUCUGUCAGAUAAAACCCUAAGUCUAGAUGUUGAUUUCAUUUGGAUCCUUUUCUUUGUUUAUUUGAUAAUUAAAUUUGAUACUUAAGGACCGUCAACACGGAGUUCGCUAAAACGACGCUGCGGUUCACCAAAAACGAAGCCGAGGGCAUGGGGAGCAAGAGGGGGUUAACACGAGCUCACCUAGGGCAGAAAACGAAGGCGAGGAGGUCUCGGAGAGGGCGUUCGCCGCGAGACGGCGGGCGGCGGCUUCUGUAAAAGUUCGGCUAUGGUUAGAAAUCGAACCGGGGCGAGUUAACACUGGAGAAGGGUCUUGGCAUCUCCGCAAGGAUGAAACGAAGCUCGGCAACAUGCUCACUAGCUCGGUAAUGCGAUGAAUCAAUCCGGCGCCGAUGCUCACGCCACGACAAGAUCCAAACCGAAGCUAAGCAACUAUGGCGUCAAAUAGAUGGAAAAAGAAAGGGAUAGAGAGGUUCACGGGGCUUAAAAAGGGCGAAAUAAAUCUCCGACGCAGAAAAUCCCACAAAGAACGGAGAAGGGGGGUGCGGACUCUCCUUCUGGAUUCCAGCUCGCAUACGGCUUGGGGAGGAAGAAGGAAAGGGGGAAGGGGACGCUGCGUAGUGGGCUCCACCUGUCAGUGACCGGUGGCGCGGGGCCGGUUUGCCAGAGAGAAAGAGAGGGAGAUGGUCUGUGGUGCCCCAUGGGCCUGCACGCAAGGGGAGAGAAGGGAGUUGGGCCGAGCUAGGCCAUGUAGGAAAGAGGCAGGCCGAGGGAGAAGGGAAAGAAAAGGGGGAGAGGCCGAGAUGGGCUCUGGUGCCACUCGGGCCUAAAGCUGGGAUAGGGAGAUUGGCUGAUUUUGUUUGAUUUUUUGAAUGAAUUUUUAAACCCAAGGCAAUUUUGAAACCAUUUCAAAACAUUUUGAAUCAUUCUGAGUUUCUAGACAAAACCACUCAAUACAAGAAAACAUAUGCUCUGACAUGAAUGCACUAAUCACGCAGCUAAAUCCUAUGAU